UGGGGAAUAUUGCACAAUGGGCGCAAGCCUGAUGCAGCCAUGCCGCGUGUAUGAAGAAGGCCUUCGGGUUGUAAAGUACUUUCAGCGGGGAGGAAGGGAGUAAAGUUAAUACCUUUGCUCAUUGACGUUACCCGCAGAAGAAGCACCGGCUAACUCCGUGCCAGCAGCCGCGGUAAUACGGAGGGUGCAAGCGUUAAUCGGAAUUACUGGGCGUAAAGCGCACGCAGGCGGUUGAUUGAGUCAGAUGUGAAAUCCCCGGGCUUAACCCGGGAAUUGCAUCUGAUACUGGUCAGCUAGAGUCUUGUAGAGGGGGGUAGAAUUCCAUGUGUAGCGAUGAAAUGCGUAGAAAUGUGGAGGAAUACCGGUGGCGAAGGCGGCCCCCUGGACAAAGACUGACGCUCAGGUGCGAAAGCGUGGGGAGCAAACAGG
rnacentral:rRNA from 1 species